CGUGAGCAACCUGCCGUGACAGGGGGAUAACCGAUGGAAACGUCGCUAACACCCGGUACACUUGGAGGGCAUCCUUGAGUUUGAAAAUUCCGAUGGUCACGGAUGGGCUCGCGGGACAUUAGCUAGUUGGCGGGGUAACGGCCCACCAAGGCGACGAUGUCUAGGGGUUCUGAGAGGAAGGUCCCCCACACUGGAAACUGAGACACGGUCCAGACUCCUACGGGAGGCAGCAGUGAGGAAUAUUGGACAAUGGAGGCAACUCUGAUCCAGCCAUGCCGCGUGAAGGAUGAAGGCCCUAUGGGUCGUAAACUUCUUUUGUCGUAGAGCAAUAAGGUGUACGUGUACAUCGAUGAGAGUAUACGACGAAUAAGCAUCGGCUAACUCCGUGCCAGCAGCCGCGGUAAUACGGAGGAUGCAAGCGUUAUCCGGAUUUAUUGGGUUUAAAGGGUGCGUAGGCGGACGUAUAAGUCAGCGGUGAAAGGUACCGGCUCAACCGGUGAGCUGCCGUUGAAACUGUGCGACUGGAAUGCGGAUGCCGUGGGAGGAAUGUGUGGUGUAGCGGUGAAAUGCUUAGAUAUCACACAGAACACCGAUUGCGAAGGCAUCUCACGAAUCCGUUAUUGACGCUGAGGCACGAAGGCGUGGGGAUCAAACAGGAUUAGAUACCCUGGUAGUCCACGCGGUAAACGAUGAUGGCUAACUGCCGGCGAUAUAGUGUCGGUGGCCAAGCGAAAGCGAUAAGCCAUCCACCUGGGGAGUACGACCGCAAGGUUGAAACUCAAAGGAAUUGACGGGGGCCCGCACAAGCGGAGGAACAUGUGGUUUAAUUCGAUGAUACGCGAGGAACCUUACCCGGGCUCGAACGGCUGAGGAAUGAAUUAGAGAUAGU
rnacentral:rRNA from 1 species